UAGAGGCAGUCUUAACCCUGCAAUAUAAACAUUGCAGUUUCUCUUAAGGGUACAGGGUCAACUUCAUUGAGAUUAAGUGUCUCUUUAACAGCAUUUGACCAUUUUAUCAUGAAGCACAGUCAAAAUAUUUAAUACAUUGUAAUUUUUCACACGUUUUAAUUUAGACGAACUUCACAGAGCACAUAUGUACAAUGAUGCCACACAUGUAGCUCAGUACAUUCCCUCCCACCUUCUGUUUCUCUCCCACCUUCUGUCUUUCUCUCCAUUCUCCCCGAUCUUCUUUGUCUCUUUCCAUAUUUUCCCCACCUUCUCUCUCUUUCUCUCCAUAUUCUCCCCCACGUUUUUCCAUAUUUUCCCUCCACACCUUCAACUUACUCCAUCUUCCCUCUCCCCACUUAAUCCUCCCCAAUACCUUAAAUGUUUUCCCCUCUCUCUCUGUCUAUUGGUCGCAUCCAUACUUGCUUUACAGGGAUGCAGUCUGGUUGAGCAGGAUAGGACUGACUGUCCUGUUCAGUGCUGCUGCCCCUGAGGAGAGACUGGUGCCUGGAGCUAGGUGGACAGGACAGGCUAGCACUUAAAGCUAUAUCCCCACUAUCACAGCCUCACUGAAAUGAG